rnacentral:tRNA from 1 species
GCUGAAAGUGGCAUAGUGGUUUGAGUGUUGGACUAGGACUCUAGAGGCUAGGGUUCAAAUUCCUGCUCAGCC